rnacentral:lncRNA from 10 species
CUCGAACUCCUGACCUCAGCUGAUCCACCCACCUCAGCCUCUCAAAGUGCUGGGGUUACAGGCGUGAGCCACCGCGCCCGGCUGCACCUACUCUUAGAGAAUUCUCAGGCCCCACGCCUUACCCCAACUUCUGUUACCAGUGGUGAAUCCAAUGGGUCUGCAGCAAACUUGAUGCUUGCCUUCUCAAAGACAGAACUCAGCUGAGGGGCAGAGGUGGUUUUAAGUGGUUUUAAGGCACAGGGAGAGACCAAGGCAAGUUUUAGAGCAGGAGUGAGAGUUUAUUAAAAAGUUUUAGAGCAGGAACAAAAGGAAGUACACUACACUUGGGUCAGGCAGGCAACUUGAGAGAUCUAAGUGCCCUGCCUGACCCUUAACUUGGGGUUUUAUGUAUUUGGCAUAGUUCUGGGAUUUACGUCUCAUCUCCCCUGAUUCUUCCCUUGCAGCAGGCUGUCCGCGUAUGUGGUGACCUGCCAGCACUUGGAAGGGGUCGCAUGCACAGUGUGAUUACUGAAGUUGCGCGCAUGCUCACUUGAGGCAUUUUUCCCCUUACCAGUCGUGCGUUCCCAGAGGAAGGUAGGUCAUAUACUGGUUAAAUUCCGCCAUUUUGCCUCUUGGUGCGCAUGCUCCAGGCUGCUUGCCCAGCUCCUGAGAUCUUAUCGGGAAGCGGCUGAUCACCAGAUCAGGGUGUUUUGUAUCUAUUGAGAGACUGUCCUUGCUUGGAGCUGGCUGCAACCAAUUAUUAUUUUACAGAGACAGUUUAACAACCACCUGACCAUCACCUGAUGGUAGCCUGACAUUCCUGUGGGGGCCCUCACCUGUCCUGCUCAUGGGACAGUGACAGCUUUUUGAGGAGGACUAAUUGGCUUCUAGGGCUGGAGGCCACUUGGGUCUGACAGACUGCCCUGCUGCCAUCCCUCCAGGGCACCCCCCACUCCCUUGCCUCAGGGCCUUCCUGCACUUCUUCCUUUUGUCCUCAAUGUUCUUCACCCCACCUUUUCCACUGGUACCCUCUGCCUAUGGUCAAGGCUUUGGUGAGACCCACUUUCCUCUUAGACCUUCCUGGAUCCCCCAAAGUCUGUGUUGGAAGCCCCUCCCAUGUGCCCUUGUUUGAGCUUUUAAUUUUCCACCAUGACGCUUGUCACACUGCUUUGUAAUUGGCUCUCUGUUAGUCUGCAUCUCUACUGGGUUGUACCUUCCAGGAGGACAGCUGCCAUGUGACUCUUGUAAUCUUCCCACCGCCAACACCCAGCACAGCGUCAGGAACACAGAGCAUGAUGAGCACAAGCUUGUUGAGCAAACAGACAAAUAACUGGAUGCUUCUGUGCAGAGUUUCUCAACCUGGCCAUUAUUGGCAUUUGGGACUUGAUCAUGCUUGGUCGUGGGAGACGGUUCUGUGCCUGUAGGAUGUUUAGGAGCAUGCUUGGUUUCUACCCACCAGAUGCCGGGAGCACACCCACCCAGCUGUGACAACCAAAAAUGUCUCCAGACACCAUUCCAAAACCAGCGGGAGACAAAAUCGCCCGACAGUCGUUGCUUUAGUGAGUGAAUGUUGACCUAAGCGUCACUUCGCCUGUCUUGAGUCUAGGUCGGGGAGUGGGUUCAGUUAGCCAAUCAGAGAACGCUGAUGGGGCGACCAGUAUAUGCUCAUGAAAUGGGUGGCUGACCUCUUGGGGUCAGAAGAGGGAAAAGUUUUACUGUGUGUUGGCUAAGGACCAUUUUAAGUCCUUCAGUGACCGAUUACCACAUGAGAACACAAGAGGGCGCUCUAACUAAUGAGUUCCGCGGCCGAGAAAACUCCUGGAGUGGGUGCUCCUGGGAUGCUUCAGGUUUAGACACCGGGGUUACGGCAGCUGCCGAGGAAGGCUAAAGCCAGCGUCCUGGAUUCAGACAGACCUUUUAGCCAUUAAAUCCACUAAGAAAGAUCCCUGCGCAUGAAGUUUCCUCCUCGGAAAUAUAGGCAGAAGGGAAAGUAAUUUUAAACUCAUGUGUGCUCCACAGGCCGGGGGCGGUGGCUCAUGCCUGCAAUCCCAGCACUUUGCGAGGCCAAGGAGGGAGGAUCACUUGAGCCCAGAAGUUCGAGACCAGCCUGGGCACCAUGGUGAAACCUCAUCUCUGCAAAAAAAAAAUUAAAAAUUAGCCAGCUAUGGCGGCUCACGCCUCUGGUCCCAGCUACCCAGGAAGCUGAGAUGGGAGGAUCGCUUGAGCCCAGGGGUUCGAGGCUGCGGUGAGCCAUUGUUGUGCCACUGCACUCCAGCCUGGGCAACAGAGCAAGCCCCUGUCUCAACAAAACAAAACAAAACAAAAAAUUCAGUCGUGCUGCAUAAGUAAGGCACCAGGAGUAGGAAUAGGGUCUUUGCAGCUCCCGUGGCAAUUGCCCUUCUCUGGUGGUGGCAAGGGACUAAGGAACUCCCUGGACACAGGGGAUCUGGCUGUCCCCAGAUCAUCAACAGAGACAUGAAGGUCGUUAGAGGUCGUCUGAUCCUUUGACCUCAAUCUGAGCCCACCACUCAGAAAACCUGGAAAUUGUAUGACAUUUUCGUGAUACAACUCGGUGUGUGUGUGUUGGGGAAAGGAACCAACAGCUUUCAUCAUAUUGUCAAAAGAGUCUAGGCUGGGCAUGGUGGCUCACGCCUGCAAUCCCAACCCAAAGGCCUGUGGAGCACACAUGAGGACAAGGCGGGCAGAUCACCAAAGGUCAGGCAUUCGAGAUCAGCCUGGCCAACGUGGUGAAACCCCAUCUCUACUAAAAAUACAAAAAUUAGCCAGGCGUGGUGACAUGUGCCUGUAAUCCCAGCUACUCGGGAGGCUGAGACAGGAGAACUGCUUGAACCCAGGAGGCGGAGGUUGCAGUGAGCAGAGGUUGCGCCGCUGCAGUCCAGCCCGGGCAACAAGAGCGAAUCUCCGUCUCAAAACAACAAAACAAAAACAUAGACCUGCUCGGUUCUCUCUGUGACUUCAGAGGCCCAAGGAGUCCUCAGCACUAUAGAUGCAUGUGGCCCCUCAGAAGACAACAUUUCACAGAUCUGCAAAGAGCAAAGGUCAAAUUUAUUUAAUACAACAUCCACGAGGGUCCCUGCAGCUGUGUCACUGAGGCAAACAGGAAAAGUGAUUUUGGCUAGGCGUGGUUCUCAUCUGUGAAAUUCCACAGCGCAAUGACAGCAGCCUCUCUCCCACCCACUCAAGACACUGUCAGGAAUGUCUUAAGACCUCAGGAGACCACUUCUUUAGCAAGCAAUUUUGUUUUUUGUUUUUUUUGAGAUGGAUUCUCACUCUGUCACUCAGGCUGGAGUGCAGUGGCGCGAUCUCCGCUCACUACAACCUCCGUUUCCUGGGUUCAAGCGAUAAUCUCACCUCAGCCUCUUGAGUAGCUGAUACUACAGGCAUGCGCCACCACGCCCGGCUAAUUCUUGUAUUUUUAGUAGAGACAGGGUUUCAUCAGGCUGGUCUCAAACUCCUGACCUCAGGUGAUCCGCCCACCUCAGCCUCCUGAAGUGCUGGGAUUACAGGCGUGAGCCACCUUGCCUGCCCUGGCAAGGAAUACAUUUUUAAAAAUUAGUAAGAAACAUACACAUUUCAAGUUUUCAAUUAAGAAUAAUAUUUGCUGAUGGCACCAUCUUCCUGUCUUUCAGCCUUCAGCAUGGUAGAGGAAAAGAGAAAGAGUGUAGACAAAAACAGUUGAAGAACAUCUGUGCUUGUUCCACCUUCAUUUUCUGUUUUGUGCGUUGCCUGAAUGAACGGUGUCUUCAGGUUGGUAUUUCACAGGCGGUGCUCCCAAGUAGUCUGGUUUUCCCAUUUGUGGAGGGCGAGGUCAUAGAGGGGACAGGGGGAGGCUGUCUGGUCAGCACUGUGUAUUUCCAAAGAACAAGGACUAGCCAAAACUACAAGCCUUUGAAGGACCAAAGGAAAAGAGAAAAAACCAGCCUCUAACCAGGCCAUGCGCUAGAAAUGAUUGAGUAUAAAAAAGAAAAUUGGUUUCUGUGUAUGAGGGUGCAUGGAAAAGGUCUUUAUCUCUGCACAAAACAAAAUAUUCAAGUUUCAGAAUAUCCCAAUGGCCUUGCCCUGGAUCUCCUCUUGUGCUCUUCCAAUUUCCAAGGAUGUUCCAACUUGGUGGAAGGAGGGUAUGUGGGAAAUUCAACAGCCCCUCUGUAUCUCUUUCUACCCAACAUUAACUUAGCAGGAUGGAUUUAAGAACCGGCAGCUUAGCCUGAGGAAUUGCUGUGUUCUGUGGGAGCAGGGCAGGUUCAUAAAUAAGUGCACAGAGGUCUUGAAAUACAGGGAUUAUCUGUUCUUCUCGGAACAUGGAUGUCCUUCCAGGGAUGUGCAUCUGGCCUUGCUGUCUAAGUUCCAUCAAGGGAGCCUUCCGUUCUCUGUAGCGACAAGAAACAAGGCAAGUUAUGAUCACACCUCUCAAGAUUGAAGAUUGCCCUGGUGGAGAGAAAUGCAAAAUGACAGCACUUCUCAAAGAAAAUGCAAAGCAGGGCUGUCACACACUGGUCCCCCACCCUGCAGGGUUCUCUCUGUGACUUCAGAGGCCCAAGGAGUCCUCAGCACUACAGAUACACGUGGCCCCUCAGAAGACAACAUUUCACAGAUCUGCAAAGAAUAAAGGUCAAAUUUACUUAAUACAACACCCACCAGGGUUCCUGCAGCUGUGUCACUGAGGCAAACAGGGAAAGUAAUUUUGGUUAGGUGUGGUUCUCACCUCUGAAAUUCCACAGCACAAUGACUGCAGCCUCUCUCCCACCCACUCAAGACAUUGUCAGGAACGUCUUAAGACCUCAGGAGACCACUUCUUUAGCAAGCAAUUUUUUUUAGAUGGAUUCUCACUCUGUCACUCAGGCUGGAGUGCAGUGGCGCGGUCUCUGCUCACUACACCCUCCCUCUCCUGGCUCCUGCCCGUAUGUAUUUCUCCUUCUCUCCAUGCCUGCUCUGUAGGGACCAUAGCCUCUGUCCCUGCAUACAUGUUGGACAUCAAUCACAUCAGUCCACCAAGUAACUUCAUCAAGCACCCAUGUACGCCCAGCACAGCGUCCCAAGGGUGCCCCACUUACCCACAGAAGAAGAAAGGCAACUUUGUAAGAGAUCUGACUUCUAGCUCCAGUUCUGUCUCUAGCUAACGUGAGAUGUACCCGUUUGAGGCCUGUUUUUUAAUUUUGAAAAUGAAGGACUGAACUUAGAUGGUCCAACUGAAAUGUUUUAAAAUGAUAUGAUUCUACCUUAAAAAGAGAAUGAAAUUCUGAUAUAUUUUCAACACAGGAAAACCUUGAAAACGUUAUGCUAAAUGAAAUAAGGCAGACAUGAAAGGACAAAUAUAUGAUUCCACUUAUGUGAUGUACCUCAAAUAGUCAAAUUCAUAGAGACAGAAAGUAGACAGUGGUUGCUAGGGGUUGCUGGAGGGGCAAUGGGGAGUUAGUGUUUAAUGGGUACAGUGUUUCAGUGGCUGCUCUGCCUAUGGAGUAGCCAUUCUUUUGUUUCUUUACUUCUCUAAUAAACUUGCUUUCACUUAAAAAGAAAAAGCUCUGGAGAUGGAUAGUGGUGGUGGUUGCACAGCAAUGUGAACGGACCUAAUGCAACUGAAUUAUACACUUUAAAAUGGUUAAGUAUACACUGGAAAAUGGUGAAUUUGCCGGGCGGGCGCAGUGGCUCACGCCUGUAAUCCCAACACUUUGGGAGGCCGAGGCGGGUG